rnacentral:lncRNA from 1 species
GAGGAAGGGAUGUAGCUCUCCCCACUUAGAACCAAGCGUCUCCUGCACCAAUAAUGUGAGAACUCGGAAGAAAGAGGUGCUGAGGAUGGAACCCAGUGCCCGUGCACGCCAGGCUCUGCCACUGCCUUACAAACUCUGUCCAGCCAACCCAACAAUGAUGCUAUUUCUUUACAUCUGAGGAAGCCAGCAAUUAGCCUGAGUAGAUCCACGUAGAUGCUGCCAGUUUACUCUGGAAGUCAUUACAUAUGGAGAAAGAGGCAGACAAAAAGAGAAAAGAGCAACAAUCAGGAAGAGAGAGAGAGAGGGGGGAGAGUUCCUUCACAUUUCAUAGUGUGGCUGCAUCAUAAUUUAUUUAAAAUUUUCUCCUGUCUCAGAAUACCUUCCUGUAUAACAAGAACAGAUCCCAGCUACUCAGGACCCUGAGGCAGAAGAAUGGAAAGGUGAUUUCUACCGACAGAAAAAGUGUGUAGUAUGGUAAAAAAAAAAAUGGUCUUUUUCCCAGCUCCCUGCCACAGAGCUCCUAAAACCCUUAAAAUUUCCUGAGUGGCAUGAAUGCCUUUUGUUUUAAUGAGCCCCUUUUUGAUCAUACCUGAGUCGGUGCUGAGUAACUCCUUCCCACCCCCACUGAAGAGCCUCAGAUGGGCCAGGUCACUGGAAGGAACAAGUGACUAUACCAUUAUUUCCUGAAAAUAAGACUGGGUCUUAUAUUAAUUUUUGCUCCAAAAGACACAAUAGAGCUUAUUUUCAGGGGAUGUCUUAUUUUUUCAUGUACAGCA